CGGGAUCCGUCCCGUGCAAGGAAUGUGGCGGUUCAUCCGCUGAACCUCAGG
rnacentral:ncRNA from 1 species